UACGGGGGGGGCAAGCGUUGUUCGGAAUUACUGGGCGGAAAGGGCUCGUAGGCGGCCAACUAAGUCAAACGUGAAAUCCCUCGGCUUAACCGGGGAACUGCGCUUGAUACUGGAUGGCUUGAGAUUGGGAGAGGGAUGCGGAAUUCCAGGUGUAGCGGUGAAAUGCGUUGAUAUCGGAAGGAACGCCGGUGGCGAAAGCGACGGACUGGAUCUCUUCUGACGCUGAGGCGCGAAAGCCAGGGGAGCAAACGGG
rnacentral:rRNA from 1 species